AGGGGGCAAGGGGGGAGAUGAGCCCCCCAACCGUCCAAAACCGGCGAGAGCCUUCUCCUGCACUGCAUGCUGCUACCUGCUGCUCUCCUUCUCAUGACCUCUUCUUGUCCCUCCUCUUCCUCUUCCUCUUCCUCUUCCUCUUCCUCUUCAUCAUCAUGAUCAUGAUGUCAUCUCUGCUUUGGCAAGGUAGGAGACCCCUUUAACAUCUUCAUCUUGAUUGAUGAGUUCGGGGAUGACGGCGGGCGAUGGGAUGCGCAUGUGGGGUGCAAUUGGUCGUGCCUCCUUAUUGGGGUUUUAUCAUCAGGAAACAGGACUGAAGAAUCAAGGGAGGGAUGAUGGAUGGGCUCCUGGUGGCUGGUUUUGUUUCUUGAAAGAGAGACAGGCAUUUCUGCCGACAGACUUCACUUCACUGAAACACAGUGAAUCAACUCUAAUACUACGCAACACUGUGAACAUUCUUGGUAACAGCGAUAAAAUGAAAUACGUUUGCUAA